rnacentral:rRNA from 1 species
AUUGAACGCUGGCGGCAUGCUUUACACAUGCAAGUCGAACGGCAGCACGGGGUCAACCCUGGUGGCGAGUGGCGAACGGGUGAGUAAUGCAUCCGACCGUACUCGGAAGUGGGGGAUAACGUAGCGAAAGUUACGCUAAUACCGCAUAUUCUGUGAGCAGCAAAGAGGGGGAUCGCACGACCUCUCGCUUUCGCAGCGGCCGAGGUCGGCUUAGCAAGGUGGGGGGGUAAAGGCCUACCAAGGCGACGAUCCGUAGCGGGGCUGAGAGGAUGAUCCGCCACACUGGGACUGAGACGCGGCCCAGAGUCCUACGGGAGGAAGCAGGGGGGAAUUUUGGACAAUGGGGGAAACCCUGAUCCAGCCAUGCCGCGUGAGUGAAGAAGGCCUUGGGGUUGUAAAGCUCUUUCGGACGGAAAGAAAUCGAACGGGCUAAUACCCUGUGUGGAUGACGGUACCGUAAGAAGAAGCACCGGCUAACUACGUGCCAGCAGCCGCCGUAACAC